CUAAGCUACACCUCCCUGUUGGAACUCAGUAAAACAAUGGCAUGCCUCCUUGUUGGGAGCAUCUACCUGUGAUCUCUGUUGCAGAUGAAUUAACUGAGUUAACUAAUUUAAUGAACUAUUUUUAGUUUAAACUAAAAGGAAUCUUAGAUAUAAAGUUUCAUUUCUGAGAGGCUGUGUUGCAUUCUGCCGCUAGGAGAGAAGCCUCUUGUUUCAGUCUGGUGAAGGUGGGAGCAUCCUGAGAGAAGCAGGGGUCAUAGAGUUUGCUAACGUCCCAUGGCUCGGUGCUGGUUUUGGGGCGGGGGGUGACUGUGUUCUUAUAGAGGCCACCCCAAACAUUUCCAGAGGACCAGAUGGUUCAUUCAAUAAAACGGGGGCCUCUAUUAGGGGUCCAGUCCUAUUUCUUAGCUGCCCAUUUCCGACUUUCUCACUUGUGCACUUCUAGGAAGCCAGUGAGAAACCGUCUAUGGCCAUGUUAAGGAAGCAGGAGAAUGUAUUUCUGGUUUUGCCAUUGUUCUCGCAGGUAUUUAAAAAACCCUAGGCCUGAUGCCCCUGUCAGAAAGCACACACUCCGACAUCUCUCACAAGUGCUGCGGGGAGGAGGUGUGAUGCCCAACAACAACCCCACAGGAGACGUGAUCCUCUGGAAGCUUCUAGACACUGUGCUCUUCACUGCGCUCAGGUGCUGAGUGUCAAGCAGAUGCACUUGGCAGGUCAUUCGGGACCAUGUUAGGUUAUUCAGAGGAACAAAAGCACAACAAACUGCCUGGAACCCUUGAUGUCUGGGAGAAGCUCACUGCACCAGCUAGCAGCUGUCCUGCCACAUUCUUGUCUGCCUGAAAGAAAAGAAAGGAAGAACGCAUGACUCCAAACGAAUGGCCUAGAAUUGGAGGCUGCUUGGCGGUAUAAGAAACGCAGAGAAAAAGAGGACUAAGAUGCACAGGGGAUUGAGGGGGAUUACACGCAGCUUCCACGAAAUGUCUUGUGCUCCUCUCUGGGAAAGGAACUGUAAAUGUCAAGGCAUCAGUCUCCCUGACAACAACUUACACAGGUACGGCCAAGCCUGCAGGGAGGGAGCAGCACGGUCAGCCCGUGUGCAAGUGUCACCUGCAGUUGCAGAGACCAGGGCCCCAGCAGUCCAGAGUAGCAACAGAUGGAGAAGGGAAGACAAACUGGGAUGGGGAAUGGGUGGGGGGCCUGGGACACCCCAGAGUUACAACCCCCCCAGAAGAAAUGGCACAGGAGAAGCAGCAGGCUUAGCAGGUGCAGCCCCUCUCACAUCUCCAACCCAAACCCCAGGGGCCUCAUAUACACUUGGUGUUAACAGAGUGUUUUAAACCCUGUUGAGCACGGGAGCCACCUGGAGAUCUGGUUAAGAGGAACUUUCUGUUUCAGUAGGUGGAGGGAGAGGGCCGUCGAUGCUACGUUUUUAACAAAGUCCUGGAUGAUGCCAGCGCUGCCAGCCCUGACACCAUGCCCCCGAUUAGCAAGGUGUGAAGAGAAUCUUGGAUCACGGGUGUGCCUCAGGCAGCACGGCUUCAGCGGGGAGGAGAAUCCAAUUCUGUACAAAGAUGCGCAAAUGCAUUUGAGUCGCACCUCACCUCACUAAUGUUAGGAGGAGAUUGUCCACGUAACUCCUAAGUCUUCUGGAUUUAGAAUGCUUCGGGUGAUGGAAACUUCUCUCGACAGCUGACAGCUGAUGUGGGGCUGUUCAGGUCUAUAUUCGGAUGGCCUAACAGCUCGUGAGCACACAGCAGCUGAGGGAAGGAGUAUGCUGGGCGGCAAGGGGAGGCGAGCUUGGCAUGCACAUUGGCCAAGGACCAUCUAUAAAGUGCACUGCCCACAUGUGCAUAUUGGGAGCUGGGUUUUGCAACGGCUGCCUCCCCUCUGGUUGAGCAAUGGAAGGGAAAUUAGCACAGGGCCCCUAAGGUCCUCUCACUUUCCCCAGAUUCCCAAAAGGAAGAAAAAAAAUUUUUUUUUUGAAUAGGUAGGAAGGAAUAGAAAAUGACAGCGAGAGAAAGGAAGUUGAAAGGUGGCUUGAGUUUCUAUUUUUAUUUUUUUUAUUUUUGAGAGGAGGGGAGAAUAAACUCCCUAAGAUGAAUCA
rnacentral:lncRNA from 12 species